rnacentral:rRNA from 1 species
GAUGAACGCCAGCGAUAGGCCUAACACAUGCAAGUCGAGGGGCAGCAUAGAGUAGCAAUACUUUGAUGGCGACCGGCGCACGGGUGAGUAACACGUAUGCAACCUACCUACAUCAGGGGAAUAACCCGGAGAAAUUCGGACUAAUACCGCAUAAUACAGGGAUGCCGCAUGGCAAUAUUUGUUAAAGAUUAUCGGAUGCAGAUGGGCAUGCGUUCCAUUAGAUUGUUGGUGAGGUAACGUCUCACCAAGGCAACGAUGGAUAGGGGAACUGAGAGGUUUGUGCCCCACACUGGAACUGAGAUACUGACCAGACUCCUACGGGGUGCAGCAGUGAGGAAUAUUGUUCAAUGGACGAGAGUCUGAACCAGCCAAAUCGCGUGAAGGAAGACUUCCCUACGGGUUGUAAACUUCUUUUGUACAAGAAUAAAAGACAUUACGUGUAAUGUAUUGCAUGUACUGUACGAAUAAGCAUCGGCUAACUCCGGGCCAGCCGCCGCGGUAA